CGGCGUGCUUAACACAUGCAAGUCGAACGGAGAUUAAGAGGAAGCUUGCGAAUCUUAAUUUUAGUGGCGGACGGGUGAGUAACGCGUGGGCAACCUACCUAUUAGUGGGGGAUAACAGUUGGAAACGACUGCUAAUACCGCAUAAGCUGACAAGAACACAUGUUUUUGUCGGGAAAGAUGGCCUCUGAAUAUGCUAUCACCAAUAGAUGGGCCCGCGUCUGAUUAGCUAGUUGGUGGGGUAACGGCCUACCAAGGCUGCGAUCAGUAGCCGGCCUGAGAGGGUGGACGGCCACACUGGGACUGAGACACGGCCCAGACUCCUACGGGAGGCAGCAGUGGGGAAUAUUGCGCAAUGGGGGAAACCCUGACGCAGCGACGCCGCGUGAGCGAUGAAGGCUUUAGGGUCGUAAAGCUCUGUUGUAAGGGAAGAAUGUCGUGGUUGAUAAUACCAAUCACGAAUGACGGUACCUUACGAGUAAGCCCCGGCUAACUACGUGCCAGCAGCCGCGGUAAGACGUAGGGGGCGAGCGUUGUCCGGAAUUACUGGGCGUAAAGAGCACGUAGGCGGAUAUUUAAGUCAGGUGUGAAAGACCGCAGCUCAACUGCGGGGUUGCACCUGAAACUGGGUAUCUUGAGGGCAGGAGAGGGCAGUGGAAUUCCAGGUGUAGCGGUGAAAUGCGUAGAAAUCUGGAGGAACACCAGUGGCGAAGGCGACUGUCUGGACUGACCCUGACGCUGAGGUGCGAAAGCUGGGUAGCAAACAGGAUUAGAUACC
rnacentral:rRNA from 1 species